rnacentral:rRNA from 1 species
AGAGUUUGAUCCUGGCUCAGGAUGAACGCUAGCGACAGGCUUAACACAUGCAAGUCGAGGGGCAGCACGGGAGUAGCAAUACAACUGGUGGCGACCGGCGCACGGGUGAGUAACGCGUAUGCAACCUACCUAUCAGAGGGGAAUAACCCGGCGAAAGUCGGACUAAUACCGCAUAAAACAGGGGCACCGCAUGGUGAUAUUUGUUAAAGAAAUUCGCUGAUAGAUGGGCAUGCGUUCCAUUAGGUAGUUGGUGAGGUAACGGCUCACCAAGCCGACGAUGGAUAGGGGAACUGAGAGGUUGGUCCCCCACACUGGUACUGAGACACGGACCAGACUCCUACGGGAGGCAGCAGUGAGGAAUAUUGGUCAAUGGGCGGGAGCCUGAACCAGCCAAGUCGCGUGAAGGAAGAAGGAUCUAUGGUUCGUAAACUUCUUUUGCAGGGGAAUAAAGUGCAGGACGUGUCCUGUUUUGUAUGUACCCUGAGAAUAAGGAUCGGCUAACUCCGUGCCAGCAGCCGCGGUAAUACGGAGGAUCCGAGCGUUAUCCGGAUUUAUUGGGUUUAAAGGGUGCGUAGGUGGUUUGAUAAGUCAGCGGUGAAAGUUUGCAGCUUAACUGUAAAAAUGCCGUUGAAACUGUCGGACUUGAGUGUAAAUGAGGUAGGCGGAAUGCGUGGUGUAGCGGUGAAAUGCAUAGAUAUCACGCAGAACUCCGAUUGCGAAGGCAGCUUACUAAGCUACAACUGACACUGAAGCACGAAAGCGUGGGGAUCAAACAGGAUUAGAUACCCUGGUAGUCG